CUGUAGUCUGUGGAAGCUGCAACCAAGUAUCGCGCAGUUCAAUGCUGCUAGGGAGACGCACAGAGUGUCGGGCCACCCACACCUAUAACUGCAUUUAUAAAGGCAACCCGAUCCGCACGUGCUUGCCUCGAGAGAGAGAGAGACGCGCAAGCGGGAAAGGAAAAGCAAUGCGAGGGCGACGCAACGUGGCCGCCACACCGAAGAGGCGGAAGCGUAUUUCAGCAUUAUCCAGCCGGCGACCGGCGCGCACCUGGCCGCUCUCUGCUUCGCUAAUCCUCUUAGCGCGACUCAAUCGAGAGGAAACGGCGACAUCAAAGCUCGUCGGGCGACACGCAGCUGGGGAAGCGAAUCCGUCUGGGAAGAUGUGAAGAAUCGGGACAGCUCAUUUCUUAGCGUCGCCUUCUCAGCUUUGGACUGCACUCGCUAACGGAGGGCGUCAAACCAUGUGCCGUAACAACACGCGCCUCGCUCUGUCAGACCGUCCAUGAAAUUGUUCAUUCGCGGUGCUGCUUACUACGGUUCCUGGAACCGCUGCGAUAACGGCUACAUCGCCAGGAACCUGGGAAGACCGCAAAGGAAAUCAUCGGAGGCUCAUGAGCUAGGCGUCAGCCCCACGGAGACGAACGGCGUCGUCUGCUAAACCCAUAGCCUCCUACGUACACUCUACGCCUGCGAGACACAAAACUGCCGUCGUCUAUGGCGGCGCCACUUACGUAUAUGCUGAGAGCCACGAUAUUUUGGGCAUUGGGUUGAAAUUGGGCUGUGCCUUGAAACAAAAACGUUUCUGUGCCAUGGCAGCAGAUAAUAAUUUUUUUUCAAAAAGAAAAAGCAACCUUAAGACAAAAUAUAAAUUUUCAACUCGUCGCUACCACUCCUAUAUUGUUUCUAAUGAUUUCUUUUUGUUGUUGUUAGUAGCGAACGCCGAAAAUGUAAACGAUGCAGGAGUGCAGAUUCUUGGGCUAUUGUUGGUUCAUUGCAUCAAUUGAAGCCAUAGCGCUGGACUGACACGGACAAGAAAGAGGACAGGACGUGCGCUAACUAUAAACUGAACUCUCUUUCGGAAAAGCAUGGUACUUAUGCCGGCUCAAAUGAGCGGAAAUCAUCGCACGCGCAACCCAACAUUUUCCAGCCGGACCGUUUCCCUUAGCCUAGAGUAAUCGACGUAGCGCUGACGCAGUUAGCACCUUCUUUUGCAAUCAAGCUUGCUUCUACAAUUUCCCGCGUGUCUUUAUCUGUAUUUCUAAACACUAAACAAUUCUUAAACAGCGAUUUACGCCCGAAAUCAUCACAAUGCAAGGAGCAAUGCCCAAAGCAAUCUUUAGCGUCGCGAGAUUUUCUUUUGGACCUCUGUCGUGAUCACGACAGAUGUCUAAAAGGAAAACUUGUGACGCUAAAGAUUUUAAAAACCUUUCGAUAUGUGGAUGACUGCCUCUUGAUGUAUGAUUUCGAUUCAAUUAACACUGACACAGCGAAUGACGUGGUUGCCGUGUUCAAUCAAUGUUUUGAAAAAUCUGGGUAUUACGCAUGAACUGCACAUGCGCAUACGCAACGUUCGGCACAGUAUGCCGGGUAACGAUAUGGGCCGUUUGUAAUUUCAUAUAAGAGCGUAUGCCUCCCAGUUCUUGAGUACGUCUAAGCGGUUUGGGGCGCUACCUGUAGGUCAAAUUGUGAACUUCUCGAAAAUGUGCAAAAGAAGUUUGCAUCUGUAUUUAAACAUAGAUUCUGUCAAAAGCCUUCCAUGUCCACAAAGGUAACACAGACACUCAGGCUACCUACCCUCACCUGUAGAUGCAAUAAAUCGGACGUUCUUUUUCUUCACAAAUUACCACAUGGAAAAAUCUGCUGCUCGCACUUGCUUUCUAAAGUGCACUUUUACAUUCCGCAGAAAGGCACAAGGAAACAGCGCGCCUUUCAGCCUUCACAUUUUUGUGACCCUCUAUCUAGAGUGCAGGUGACAUAUAACAUAACAAAUAACGCCCAUUCAGAGUGCCUGGGCAUCUUCGUGCCUCUUUUUAAUAUUUUCCUGCAAGGAGUUGCAGAGGUAUUUGAAUAAGUGAACAAAAACUCUCACAUCUGUUGUGUGUUCCGUCAUUCUGUAAUCAUUUCUUCUCUUCCUCCACUUUUGCUUUGUAUCCUCUUCGUGUACACCUUUUAAGCUCUGUUAAAAUCUGUAUUCGCGAAAUUACUAUUCUUUUUUUGUUGAGCGUGCAUGUGUAUGUUUCUGUGAGCGCAUUGUUCUUCCUAUGCAUUGUUUUACCGCGUGCGCCAGCACCAAGACCCUCGAUGUUGUUCCUGUGCACUUUAAUAAACAGCUUUGAUUGAUCGAUCGA